rnacentral:rRNA from 1 species
AACGAACGCUGGCGGCAUGCCUAACACAUGCAAGUCGAACGAGAUCUUCGGGUCUAGUGGCGCACGGGUGCGUAACGCGUGGGAAUCUGCCCUUUGGUUCGGAAUAACAGUUGGAAACGACUGCUAAUACCGGAUGAUGACGAAAGUCCAAAGAUUUAUCGCCAGAGGAUGAGCCCGCGUAGGAUUAGCUAGUUGGUGUGGUAAAGGCGCACCAAGGCGACGAUCCUUGGCUGGUCUGAGAGGAUGAUCAGCCACACUGGGACUGGGACACGGCCCAGACUCCUACGGGAGGCAGGAGUGGGGAAUAUUGGACAAUGGGCGAAAGCCUGAUCCAGCAAUGCCGCGUGAGUGAUGAAGGCCUUAGGGUUGUAAAGCUCUUUUACCCGGGAUGAUAAUGACAGUACCGGGAGAACAAGCUCCGGCUAACUCCGUGCCAGCCGCCGCCGUAA